rnacentral:lncRNA from 1 species
AAAAAUGUGUAGGCCAAAGUGUGCAUAACCUAUUGGGCUGUGGGUGUGAGGGGAGGUGUAGCAAGCAAGUGGUGCCUACAUUGUGUUUUGGGAUUAUCAUGGGAAAGGAGCUUGUGUGCAGAAACAGCCACUUAAGGGGUAUUGGGUGUUUGCGUGAAUUCUCAUCCUUGCUGGCAGGUGAUGGGCACCUCAUGGUGUGUGAACAUUGUGUGGAGAGCGUUUCCUUAGUUAAUAAGUGCUGCUCUUUUCUUUGGUCCUUAGUACAUCCUGCAGUGGUGAUUCGACAACGAAAGUCAUAUCGAAGAAAAGACGGGGUGUUCCUUUAUUUUGAAGAUAAUGCAGGGGUCAUAGUAAACAAUAAAGGCGAGAUGAAAGGUAUGAAGGGUUAGGCCAUCACUGUGUGUGUCUGCUGGGUGAUUCGGCACAGACAGGGACCCUGUCUGACCUGUCUUCUCUUCAUGCAGGUUCUGCUAUCACAGGUCCAGUUGCAAAGGAGUGUGCAGACUUGUGGCCCAGGAUUGCAUCCAAUGCAGGAAGCAUUGCCUGAUUCUCCAGUGUGUUUGUAAAAUAUAUUCAUUAAAGUCUUCUCUCUGAG